UACACUCCUGCGGGAGGCAGCAGUGGGGAAUUUUGGACAAUGGGCGAAAGCCUGAUCCAGCAAUGCCGCGUGAGUGAAGAAGGCCUUCGGGUUGUAAAGCUCUUUUGUCAGGGAAGAAACGGUGAGAGCUAAUAUCUCUUGCUAAUGACGGUACCUGAAGAAUAAGCACCGGCUAACUACGUGCCAGCAGCCGCGGUAAUACGUAGGGUGCAAGCGUUAAUCGGAAUUACUGGGCGUAAAGCGUGCGCAGGCGGUUUUGUAAGUCUGAUGUGAAAUCCCCGGGCUCAACCUGGGAAUUGCAUUGGAGACUGCAAGGCUAGAAUCUGGCAGAGGGGGGUAGAAUUCCACGUGUAGCAGUGAAAUGCGUAGAUAUGUGGAGGAACACCGAUGGCGAAGGCAGCCCCCUGGGUCAAGAUUGACGCUCAUGCACGAAAGCGUGGGGAGCAAACAGGAUUAGAUACCCCAGUAGUCCCAUGA
rnacentral:rRNA from 1 species